rnacentral:rRNA from 2 species
UAACGUCCGUCGUGAAGAGGGAAACAACCCAGACCGCCAGCUAAGGUCCCAAAGUCAUGGUUAAGUGGGAAACGAUGUGGGAAGGCCCAGACAGCCAGGAUGUUGGCUUAGAAGCAGCCAUCAUUUAAAGAAAGCGUAAUAGCUCACUGGUCGAGUCGGCCUGCGCGGAAGAUGUAACGGGGCUAAACCAUGCACCGAAGCUGCGGCAGCGAACGUAUCACCCAAGACAACUUUACGGAGUUGACGAUUGACGGAGCGAAGCGACGUCAAAGCGUUCAUUAAAGUCGAGUUGGCUUAGGGAUACGUUCGUUGGGUAGGGGAGCGUUCUGUAAGCCUGUGAAGGUGUGUCGUGAGGCAUGCUGGAGGUAUCAGAAGUGCGAAUGCUGACAUAAGUAACGAUAAAGCGGGUGAAAAGCCCGCUCGCCGGAAGACCAAGGGUUCCUGUCCAACGUUAAUCGGGGCAGGGUGAGUCGACCCCUAAGGCGAGGCCGAAAGGCGUAGUCGAUGGGAAACGGGUUAAUAUUCCCGUACUUGGUGUUACUGCGAAGGGGGGACGGAGAAGGCUAUGUUGGCCGGGCGACGGUUGUCCCGGUUUAAGCGUGUAGGUGUGUGUUCCAGGUAAAUCCGGUU